CAGUCAAGGGAAGCCGGAGCCUGGAGAAGACGAGCCGCGCGGUCGGAGGCGCGGUGCGGGACCAGGACAGUGGGGCCUGGCCGUGCGCUUCGCCCUGGCGGUCCAGGAGCUGUCUCGCCCUCCGAAGAGUUACGGGAGGUGGCACUGCUUUUGCUCUCUGCCCUUUCGACACGUGAAGGAGAGAAUCAUUCGGAACCCAGGACUCAGACCGGUGGCCGAGGGCCUGUGCAGCCGCGAGCACGACAGCGCAGCGCUGGCCGCGUCCGCGCGCGUUCCUCCGACAAGGGCAGAGCAGUCGACCAGCGCGCCCCAGUCUCGAUCGGGUUCAAGGCGACUCUUGAGGACGAAGGCGGCUGGUCCCAGAGCAUCUCGGAGAAAGCGGACACCCGUCUUGGCCUUUGGAAGACGCUCAAGGACCACGUGGCCGGGUCCACGGUCUCUGCCCUGCGCCUCGAGGGCGAGGCAGCCCAGGUCUUGCCCUUCUUGCCGGCCACUUCGCCCCCAGCCGACGCCUGGAGCUUGAGGUGACUGAGCGCUCUCAGGUCUGUGUGCUUUUGAAUGUUGAAGAUCAGGGCUCCCCUCCCCCGCCCUCCCGGAAGGGAUGUACACACUCUGGUUACACGUGCACGUGUGCUCCUGUGCACACGCCUGCACGGCCUCUGGAGGACAGGAGCCGGGCGGGCCCUUCUCACACCGUUGCUUGGGCUCGGCUCUGUGCGCUGCCUCCGUGGCUCUGCCCUCCCGCCGGAGACGGGGCCUGUAGGGAGCCGGGCUGGCCCAGGCGUCUCCCCAGGGAGCCGGUCUCGACCGUCUUCUGGGCUCCCUCCUGCCGCAGGUGAAGUGAAGCCGCCUUUGUGAGGAGGCAGCUGUCACGGGUCCGAGCUGGGAGGACCCGUAACUCCCUGGCAUUUCCCAGCAUCUGUGGGGUCGGGCAGCGCUCAGGGGCUCAGCAAGUGAUGGGGUCUCAACCCGGCCCUCCCCCGAGAGCCAGCCUCACUGUGGCCUGUCGGGCACACUUGGCUGCUUCCAGCCUCCUGGGGAGUCAGUGCAGCCGUGAGGGUCAGACCCAGAGUGGCGUCCGUUCCCCUCCCCCGCUCAUGCCAUGGCCAGGGGCAGGCCUGCCUCCCGGGGCUGGGCAGAGAGGACCUGGGAUCCCUCUGCCAUCGGGGCCUCUCAUGUUGGUAGGUCCAGCUUGCCCACCAGACUCCACAGACGCCACCCCGGGGCUUUUCUGUCUGCAUGCAGGGCCUGUGCCAGCUGGUGCCCAAGGGUGGGGUGGGACACUCUGGGGGCAGGAGGGCCUCCAAGGACUUCAGAGACGGAGGAGAGAGGGGGACACGAGAGGGGAAUAGCGGAGGGAAAGAACAGAGCAGAGGCAGAGAGAGCAGGGCCGGGAGAAGGGAGACGGCAGAGCCACCAGGACCCGCGCGCAGCUGUCCCUGGGGAGACGGCCUCG
rnacentral:lncRNA from 1 species